UGUUUUUCCAUUUUUUUCUUGGAAGCCCCACUCAGAAAUGUGACAGUCUCUCCUUGCAAAGAAGGCUGGGUAUGACCCAGGAAGAGGGUUCAUACAUUCUGGAACCUCCACUGGUGAAGCUGGGUGGGCAGCAGCAGGUGUGUUUGCAAGAUAUGAAAAGUGACAUUGCAGGAUGAAAUUUCUUGCACCUGCACAGGACACAAUGCUAUAUUUGAAGUUCUUACACCAGCUCAACUGCCACAUGUUUUCAGGAGCAUCAGGGAAGAAGUAAAACACACUGUAGUGUGAUUAUCUCCCUUGAGCACUAUCACAAAAAACCCAAACAAACCUUUGUAUUGCCAGUUAUGACAUGUUUUGAAGUCUGAAUAUCAGCUUGAUCUCUGAACUUAUUUUUAAGGGGAAAGGGAUGAAAAGUGCAAAAUAUAUUGUAAUGUAGCAUUUUAUGUGAAACUUCUCAAACAUUACGAUUUGUUGAUAUCAGUAGAUUGAGAGUAAUAUAUUUCAAAAAUUUGCCUA